AAAAAUUAUAAAAUAUUCUUAGAGGUCCUCUACAUUGUCAUUGUAUUAAGUAAAGUGAUUUUACUUAAUUUUUUUAAGGUAAGAAUAUUUUACAAAUUUAAUCAGCUAACUUCAUCAAGACACAAAUUACAAAACUUGAGUUAGGAACUACCUAUAUAAAUUUUGAUAUUUAGAACGUAUCCGAAACGUCUAAAAAUGCUAAAAAUGACUUUAAACACAACUACCUUCUAAGACAGCCCGUCGUACACCCAAACAGGGUCAAAAACUCGGUUUAAAGUUCGGUGAGCCAUGAUCGAUCUGAUCGCACAUAAAAAAAAGUUCAUAAAUUAUUAAUAAUUAUCAUAUAA
rnacentral:misc_RNA from 1 species